rnacentral:tRNA from 1 species
GGAGGAUUAGCUCAGCUGAGAGAGCACCUGCCUUACAAGCAGGGGGUCGGCGGUUCGAUCCCGUCAUGACUGCU